rnacentral:rRNA from 1 species
UAUCAGUCAUGCAUAGCAUAUCAAUAAGCGGAGGAAAAGGAAACUAACAAGGAUUCCCUUAGUAACGGCGAGUGAAGCGGGAAGAGCUCAAAUUUGAAAUCUUCAAGGUUUUACCUUGACGAAUUGUAGUUUAAAGAAGUGUUUUCUGUUGAAGUUUUGGUAAAAGUUCUUUGGAAUAGGACAUCAUAGAGGGUGAGAAUCCCGUAUUUGACCAUUACUUUCAGCUUUGUGAUACACUUUCAAAGAGUCGGAUUGUUUGGGAAUGCAGUCCAAAAUGGGUGGUAAAUUUCAUCUAAAGCUAAAUAUUGGCGAGAGACCGAUAGCGAACAAGUACCGUGAGGGAAAGAUGAAAAGAACUUUGAAAAGAGAGUUAAACAGUACGUGAAAUUGUCAAAAGGGAAGCGUUUGACACCAGUGUUGUUUUCUCGAAAAUCAAUUAAAAAGAGUUGGAUUUUGUGUUGUAUUGACUUUAUCAGCUUUCUUCACUCUUUUCCAGCUUUUUUUAAUGCACUUUUCGUUUAACAAGUCAACAUCAGUUUCUUUUGUUGUAAAAAGGUCAUUGGAAGGUGGCUUUCUCUUCGGAGAAAGUGUUUAUAGCCUUUGACUCAUGCAAUCGGAGAGACUGAGGUCUGCAGCGUAGAUCCUUCGGGGUUAGAUACAUUUGUGCUAAGUUAUAGCUUUUCAUAGACAACUUGUUGACUAUGUUUAGUCUUGUAGCUUACUCGCUUAUGCUAUUUUACCUACGCUUAGGAUGUUGAACUCUAUCACACACAG